CCUACGGGUGGCAGCAGUGGGGAAUAUUGCACAAUGGGGGAAACCCUGAUGCAGCGACGCCGCGUGAGUGAAGAAGUAAUUCGUUACGUAAAGCUCUAUCAGCAGGGAAGAAAAUGACGGUACCUGAGUAAGAAGCCCCGGCUAACGACGUGCCAGCAGCCGCGGUAAUCCGUAGGGGGCAAGCGGUAUCCGGAUUUAAUGGGGGUAAAGGGAGCGUUGACGGGGCGCCAAGGCUGGAGUGAAAUGCCGGAGCGUAACUGCGGAACUGCCUUGGAAACUGGCGAACUAGAGUGCGGGAGGGGUAAGCGGAAUUCCUGGUGUAGCGGUGAAAUGCGUAGAUAUUAGGAGGAACACCGGUGGCGAAGGCGGCUUACCGGACCGUAACUGACGUUGAGGCUCGAAAGCGUGGGGAGCAAACAGGAUUAGAUACCCUUGUAGUC
rnacentral:rRNA from 1 species